rnacentral:tRNA from 1 species
GCCCAGGUGGUGGAAUUGGUAGACACACUAUCUUGAGGGGGUAGCGGCGCAAGCCGUGGGGGUUCGAGUCCCCCCCUGGGCACCA